UACGGAGGGGGCUAGCGUUGUUCGGAAUUACUGGGCGUAAAGCGCGCGUAGGCGGACCUGCAAGUCGGGGGUGAAAGCCCGGGGCUCAACCUCGGAAUUGCCUUCGAUACUGGACGUCUUGAGUACGGGAGAGGUGAGUGGAACUCCGAGUGUAGAGGUGAAAUUCGUAGAUAUUCGGAAGAACACCAGUGGCGAAGGCGACUCACUGGCCCGUUACUGACGCUGAGGCGCGAAAGCGUGGGGAGCAAACAGG
rnacentral:rRNA from 1 species